GAUGAACGCUGGCGGCGUGCCUAAUACAUGCAAGUCGAGCGAACAGACGAGGAGCUUGCUCCUCUGACGUUAGCGGCGGACGGGUGAGUAACACGUGGAUAACCUACCUAUAAGACUGGGAUAACUUCGGGAAACCGGAGCUAAUACCGGAUAAUAUAUUGAACAGCAUGGUUCAAUAGUGAAAGACGGUUUUGCUGUCACUUAUAGAUGGAUCCGCGCCGCAUUAGCUAGUUGGUAAGGUAACGGCUUACCAAGGCGACGAUGCGUAGCCGACCUGAGAGGAUGAUCGGCCACACUGGAACUGAGACACGGUCCAGACUCCUACGGGAGGCGGCAGUAGGGAAUCUUCCGCAAUGGGCGAAAGCCUGACGGAGCAACGCCGCGUGAGUGAUGAAGGUCUUCGGAUCGUAAAACUCUGUUAUUAGGGAAGAACAAAUGUGUAAGUAACUAUGCACGUCUUGACGGUACCUAAUCAGAAAGCCACGGCUAACUACGU
rnacentral:rRNA from 1 species